ensembl:lncRNA
UGCUGGCUGAAUGAUUGCUCAUUCAUUCCUCCAUGAUGGGCCGGGCCUUGGAGGACUCAGCCCAGCUGUUCUGCAUGUGCUCUUUGGUGGAAGCCCAGAAGAAGUCAUGAUGAAAAUAUCAAGGACUGUGCUGACCUCGAUAUCCGCAAGACAGUCAAAGUGCUGGAGGGUACAGAAGAAUUGUCAUCUGAAGGAAAGAACAAUACUAAUGAGUUGUCACUGUCUUGGGAUUUGCCUCAAGUCACAUGUGAGAACAGAAGAUGCUGCUGGACAAGCUGAUGCUCCACGCAGUGAGUAUUCUCAUCUGUACUUUAACAGAUCAUUUAAACCAGACAGACAAAUGAGCGUUGAAGUUCACACUCACAAUGUUCACAUUGUGUCUUUUUUGUGCUUCACACAGAUGUUGGUGAGUUGAUUGUUUCGCGCUAGUUAAGUAGUUAAAGAUUAGUAAGGCGGCUUUCCUUUUCGUAAUGCAAAUGAUUUGCAGGAACUUGGAAGAAGCUCAAGACGGGUUAAACAGUUACGAAGGGGCUUAAAAGAGACGCUGAUCUGGCC